AUUGAACGCUGGCGGUGGGCCUAACACAUGCAAGUCGAACGCGAAAGUCCUUCGGGAUGAGUAGAGUGGCGGACGGGUGAGUAACGCGUAGGAAUCUAUCCUGUAGUGGGGGAUAACGUUUCGAAAGGAACGCUAAUACCGCAUACGCCCCAAGGGGGAAAGCGGGGGAUCUUCGGACCUCGUGCUAUAGGAGGAGCCUGCGUCGGAUUAGCUAGUUGGUGAGGUAAAGGCUCACCAAGGCGACGAUCCGUAGCUGGGCUGUGAGGAUGACCAGCCACACCGGAACUGAGACACGGUCCGGACUCCUACGGGAGGCAGCAGUGGGGAAUAUUGCGCAAUGGGCGAAAGCCUGACGCAGCCAUACCGCGUGUGUGAAGAAGGCCUUCGGGUUGUAAAGCACUUUCAGUGGGGAGGAAAAGCUGGUGGCUAAUAUCCAUCGGCCGUGACGCUACCUACAGAAUAAGCACCGGCUAACUCUGUGCCAGCAGCCGCCGCCGUAA
rnacentral:rRNA from 1 species